rnacentral:rRNA from 1 species
UACGUAGGGGGCAAGCGUUGUCCGGAAUCAUUGGGCGUAAAGAGCGUGUAGGCGGCCCGAUAAGUCCGCUGUGAAAGUCCAGGGCUCAACCCUGGAAAGCGGGUGGAUACUGCCGGGCUAGAAUCCGGAAGAGGCGAGUGGAAUUCCUGGUGUAGCGGUGAAAUGCGCAGAUAUCAGGAGGAACACCGAUGGCGAAGGCAGGUCUCUGGGCAUUAACUGACGCUGAGGAGCGAAAGCAUGGGGAGCGAACAGG